UUUGAAAAUGCGUUACUGUUCAAUAAGUCGUAACAUUGUUCCUGUUUAACCAAGAAAAGAGUUCAUCUUUUCCUUAAUAGUCAAUCUUUGUCAUUCCAUGCACAGAGAUUUAUUUAAGUGAUCAUCUGUCUCUAUAUAGACGAUCUUUGUUUUCUCCGCCGACUGUUUUACUGAAGUAAGUUAAGAGAGCAGAAAACCUAUGAUUCAUCGAAAAAUUUGAAUAUUGAAGCAUGAGCCAUUCAAAAUCGCGAGUUUCGAGGAGGAGGAUCAAACCUUUGAACAUUUAAUAUUCUGGUUGUUUUUUUUGGAUAGCUCCAUGACUGGAACCAGAAGUACUGUCCGGUCUGCCACCACAUCUUCAUCCAUCCACCACCAAGAGGACCCUCACAUCGGACGUCACAGUGCGCCUGGAGUCCCUUUGACUUGACUUUGGUUGUGCACAGAAGGGUGGCUCCUCGGUUACCAGGGAAAUGGAUGUGUUGGCCUCAUCAGAGAGUCUCCAGCUGGUGGAGAGGCUUCGGAAGCGGCGCCUUGGCAGCCGCACGGUCAGGGGGGAGUUUGCAUCUGUGCUGCCUUGGCACUGAACUGGAUUGUGAUUGUGGUGUAUGGAGUGUGUGAAUAGGGGUUUGUGCAUUGAAGGUUGAGGGAGGCUAAGGUC
ensembl:lncRNA